GACGAACGCUGGCGGCGUGCUUAACACAUGCAAGUCGAACGGAAAGGCCCUGCUUUUGUGGGGUGCUCGAGUGGCGAACGGGUGAGUAACACGUGAGUAACCUGCCCUUGACUUUGGGAUAACUUCAGGAAACUGGGGCUAAUACCGGAUAGGAGCUCCUGCUGCAUGGUGGGGGUUGGAAAGUUUCGGCGGUUGGGGAUGGACUCGCGGCUUAUCAGCUUGUUGGUGGGGUAGUGGCUUACCAAGGCUUUGACGGGUAGCCGGCCUGAGAGGGUGACCGGCCACAAUGGGACUGAGGGACGGCCCAGACUCCUACGGGAGGCAGCAGGGGGGAAUAUUGCACAAUGGGCGGAAGCCUGAUGCAGCAACGCCGCGUGCGGGAUGACGGCCUUUGGGGUGUAAACCGCUUUCGCCUGUGACGAAGCGUGAGUGACGGUAAUGGGUAAAGAAGCACCGGCUAACUACGUG
rnacentral:rRNA from 1 species